CCCCUCUUUCAAAGGCUUCGAUUUACAAGCCGCCAUCCUUCAUGAUGCCUGUAGUGUUGCAAGGAGCAGAGAGAACCUUGCGUAGAAUCUCUCACGGUCUUAGUGCAAAGGUCUCCCAGUUCUUUCAGAGUGGUUUCUCAGGUGUCCUUAGCUGGAGGGAGAUCGGUGCAUUUUCAGAUGUCAGAGCUGGUGCUGACAAUAGAGCCAAACUUGGCUUUUUGGAACUGAAAGUAUGCCUAAUCCUUAAAUUAUUUUUGGAGGGUAAGAAAGGAAGGCUGAAAGGACAUCAGGAAUUGAGGUCUUGUGUUUGGUGAUUGGCCAUGUGGCUUUUCUUCUGCUUUAGCAAGUCGACAUUUUGAACAGUAACAUAGAGCGCCUUAAGCAGGCUUCUCUAAUAACUUUUCAUCUGUCUUGUUGGGAGGCUGUCAGGGUGUCAAGCUUUUAGAAAACUGUACAGAUGAGCACAUGUACCCUAAAACUUAAAGUAUAAUUAAGAAAAAAAACGAAAGAAAACCAUACAGAUGACAGAAAUGACAUUGGUCUCAACGGAGUGGUCAAAGCCCACAGAGGUAUGAUCAAUUUAGUUGCUACAAAGCCACUAUUCUCUCCAGGGGCAGUUUAACCCCCCAGGGGACACCUGGCAAUGUCUGGAGGCAUUUUUGGUCGGGGCCAUGGGAGUUGCUACUACCAUUUAGUGGGUAGAGGCCAGCGAUGAUGCUAAACCCCUGCAAUGCACAGGACAGCCCCAUAACCAAUAAUUACCAGGCUUAGCCUGCCAGCAGUGCUGAGGGGUAGAAAGCCUGCUGGAAAAGAAUGGGCUGGACAUGAUAAAUGCAUUGAAGGAAUUCGUCUGAUCCCAUAAGUGAGAAAACUGAGGGCAGCCAAAUAUGUGAAUCUCGACACCCCACUCUCUGAGUUUUAUUGUAUGAUAAUGGCAGCAGCGAUACUUGCAGGCUCUUGAUGCCGCCUUGCAAAUGUGUGUGGUGCCCUCUUCGUAGCUAGCUGCCUAUUUUCGUCUUGAAGUGACGUGUAAACUUGGAGAGGUGAAAUCCCCAGGUUCAUUCUGUCUGUGGUAUUAGCAAUUGCCUUACUUAGCCUUUCACAGUAUUGGAGAUCUUUUUUUUUUUUUUUUUUUUUUGGUUAUGAUAUAUUGUUUUUCUGAUUAUUUGGAAUAGCCUGUGGUUUUUUAACUACUCUUUGUUAGGUGUAAUUGAUAGCCUGCUAAGAAGGGGGUCAUAAAAUGGCUGGAGUUAAGAGUUGCAUUUAUGUGACAUUUGUCAGGAUCGAACCCAUUGCCAUGGCAUUAGCUGACAUUUUGACCCUUUAUUGUCUCCAAAGAAAGAGAAAAAAGGUCUUCUUUCUUUCUUUCCUGCAUUGGGUCUUUGCACCCGCUCUGUGCUAUGCCGAGAACCUCCUUCCUUUCCGCGUCCUCCUCCUCCUCCAGCUGUCAGCGUGGCUCCCUCUUCCACCUGCACCAAGGUUCACACUGUCUGUGCUCAUAGGCCAGGUCACACCCUAUCUGCACCACGUGGCUGCCUGCGCCUUCAGUGUUCAUCGGGGUUGCAGUUGUACUGUCUUUUCUUUUCUUUUUUAAGAUCUAAUUUACAUGCCAUAAAAUUCACCACUUUAAAGUGUACAGUUCAGUGAUGUUUUAGUAUAUUCACAAGGUUGUGCAACCGUUAUUACUAUGUAAUUCCAGAACAUUUUUUUUAUCACCUCCAAAGUCACUCCCCAUUCUCCCCCUCCCCGGAAAACCCUUGGCAAACACUAAUGCACUUUCUGUUUCUGCAGAUUUUCCUAUUCUGGGCGUGUUACAUGCAUGAAAUCCUAUGCUGUGUGGCCUUUUGUGUUUGGCUUAUUCUCCUAAGUAUGGUGUCCUCAGGGUUCAUCCCCAUGGUAGCUUGUGUCAGAAUUUCUUUCCUUUUUAAGGCUGAAUCAUAUUCUCUGGCAUGGAUCGAUCACAUUUUGUUCUCCCUUCAUCAGUGGGUGGACAUUUAGAUGCAGCUGUACUUCCACUUGGGUGGUUCUUGAAUGGAGUAACACUUUAUCCCCCCAGACAGUAAGCUGCAUGGUGUGAACCCACUCAUCUGUGUACACCAGCUCUAGCACGUGCUGCCUGUACUUGAGGAAUUCUCAGUAAAGGUUCACUGAGUAAUUGAGUGAUGCACUGAAGAAGGUAAAAGUGCGGCUUACAUGGCAGUCUGAAAUAGCAAGGAAAAGAACAGUCGUUGUUACGAAGGGAGGAAGCACGUGCGCUCUCCUUCACCUUUCCUCCUCGAGCUGCCAGUAGUACUGUGUGCACCUUCUCUCUGGACGUGCGAGCCUGGAUUUCCAGCCUCUCUAUUCAGAAGACAAAUGUGGCAGCAGUCACACUCUCAGAAACACCAUCAAAUUUGUAUCCUACUGACUUUGUGCUAUUAGAGAAGACACAACCACACUUAAAAUGACAAGUUCAAAAAGAAAAAUGAGAAAACCCUGGAAAAAGGGAAACCAUAAAUGUGAUGGAAAUAUUUGAAGUCUUUUCAAUUGUUAACAACUUAUGCUAAUUUGAGGAAUUCUUCAGUGAUACUUUUUAAAGAACUCAAAAACAUUUAAUGCUUAAACGUUCUCAGGGCUUUGGAAGGAUUUAUCAUAAUUGAGCAUUUGCUGAGUUUCUAUUUCCGUCGUUGGAUUCCUUUGGUAAUAUAUUUGCAAGUCUUUCUCUGAGUUCUUUGCUAAUAGGAAAGCAAGAGCUGACAGGAAGAUCUUGGGUGGAUGGGUAAAAAUGGCUACUGGCUGCUGAUUUGGUCCACUGUAUCACCACAUUACUGUUGACAUAGUAAUGGGAACACUUUAAUAUCAAUCAGUGCAUGUUGGGGUUCUAUUCUGUGCCUCAUGUUUUUUGGGUGGGAAUAUAUGAUAUGGUUGUUAUUAAGCAUUUUAUAUUGAGGCACACUGGUAAUAUAGUCAACUUUUGGCCAGUAGUGUGUACUCAGUGAUGAACUCAAUUUUGGCAAAGGGUGUUUUCUGUGGUGGCCCCCAGUGUACUUAUUUUGUUUAUUUAUUUAUUUAUUUUUUUGAGAUGGAGUCUCACUCUGUCGCCCAGGCUGGAGUGCAGUGGCGCGAUCUCGGCUCACUGCAAGCUCCACUUCCCGGGUUCACACCAUUCUCCUGCCUCAGCCUCCUGAGUAGCUGGGACUACAGGUGCCCACCACCACGCCUGGCUAAUUUUUAGUAUUUUUAGUAGAGAUGGGGUUUCACCAUGUUAGUCAGGAUGGUCUUGAUCUCCUGACCUUGUGAUCUGCCUGCCCCGGCCUCUGAAAGUGCUGGGAUUACAGGCGUGAGCCACUGCGCCCGGCCCCAGUGUACUUAUUUAUUUGUUGGCCAUUUCUUCCCUGCUGUUGACUGUUUCCCUCCUUGGCUUAGCAAGAGGUGUUGGGAGCUGAUUUGAAACUCUAAUCUCUGGAAGCAUGGGGAAUAUGACUCCUCUAGUCUGGGUGGGGACUUCUCUGAGAUAGCAUUUCUUUUCUUUUGAGUUUAAAAAUGUGCCAUCUAAGCCUGGGCAACAUAGCAAGACACCAUUUCUAAAAAAAAAAAAAAUUAACCAGGUGUGGUGGUGCAUGCCUGUAGUCCCAGCUACUCAGGAGGCUGAAGCAGGGGGAUUGCUUGAGCUCAGGAGGUCGAGGCUGUGGUGAGCUGUGAUUGCACCACUGCACUCCCACCUGGGUGAUAGAGUGAGACCCUGUCUCAAAAGAUCUUUAUGCUACACAUUUUUAGAGGUCUGUUCAACAGCUAUGGAAACUUCCAAGAGCCAGGCGCUGACCUGACCCUGGCACCUGGAGUGUUCCUUCGGGGAGAAUCCACCUGUGAAUGAAUAGAAAGAUCCCUGCUCUCUGCUGGUAUUGAACUAAAACACUGGCAUCUCUGGAACUGAGUUAUGUAUAGUAAGUGGCUCCUCCGGCCAGCAUACGGGGUGGGAAGUGUUGGUGUGGGUCACCUGGCCUGAGCUAGGGCCUCAGGCCUGCCUAGCACUGAAAGGAGCCCGGAAAAAAGUGACUUCAUCUGCUUGCAUCACACUGUCCUCAUCUUCAUGGUGACAAACUGAUACAAACUUGCUGUCAGUUUGAUGGCAAAUGCUCUCUGUAACCUGUCACUUGGAAAGUUCCCUCCUCAUCAGAUUUUGUUUUUUUUUUUUUUUUUUUUACAGGUAAGAGGCUUUAAUAGGCCUUGACAAAGGGCCGUAUGAGUGGAGAAGUAUCUGUGCCCUAAUAGCAGGGCACUUGAAAUACAGCCACAGGGGCACAGUGUCUUUCCCUCAGCCAGUAGCUCCCCCCUCGGCCAUGUCCACUGUCUAGAAUACUGCCAAAGAGCUGCGUUUUUACCCACUGUGAGCUCAGAGAAUUUUGAUCAUACUUGCCAUGUGCUAUAAUUGAUUAUGGAUACCUGAUCUCAGCCAUUUGCUUAUGAAAGUAAGGCUGUGUGAAUGUUUUAUUACCAGAAAUACACAUUUUGGAUCCUAAUGCCACCACUUAAUUAAAUGUGCGAACCUGGGCUAGGUAUUUUCCCUCUCAACUUCGUGACCUGCAGUAUUCCCAUAUGUAAACUGGGGAUAAUGAGACCUGCCUUACAGGAUCGUUUUGUGCAUUAAAUGGGAUUUGUGUAAACUCCUUAGAGCAGUGCUAAGAAUGAAGGUGGUAAUGAGAAAUGCAGUUUUUAUCCAUCCUCAUUCUUCUGGUUAAGGAUGGUAUUUUAUUCACCUUUUGAUUUCUUAUAAUGCCUUGCACAUAGUUAAAGCUCAGCAGUUGUUAAAUGAAUAAAGAACAAAGCCUCCAUGAAAAAACAACACACAAAACUAAUUAGUACUAGUGUAUGUGUACUAUUCACUGGAGGGCCAUUUCAAAUCCUACCACAUUCAUAGACAACAAUCAUGUUAUUUGAUUUUGAAGCCCAGCACAUGUUGGAAGCAAAAAAUUAGAAGCAUGAGAAGACAGCUGUUAGUCAUGCAUAUUGAUAUGACAAAUAAAUCCUAGCGGGCCACCCAAUUGCAAGGAAGGAGGUAGAGGAGCUGGGAAAAGUAGUAUCAACAAUAGAGCAAUCUAAUGCCAUUUACCACAGGAGCAGAUAGCCCCAUCCACAGAUCCAAAGGGUGUGUGGUUAUUACCAAGGGAAUUGCCAGCUAUUGCACAGUAAAGCAGAAUAAUUGAUUUAUGGCACUCAAUCCUCCAAAAAGUUGUAAAUUUCUUUGAUAUCUACCAAGUAGGUGGCAACAGCAAAGGCUAACCUCAGGGGGAUUUGCACGGAGGAAAAACAAGAUUGUAAAAACCUGCUGUUCUAGGAGUUGAAAUGUAUUAUUAUUAUAGCUGUUGUAGAACUCUUCUCUUCUUUGUCAUGCAGACUUAAAGUAUAAAACAAUCUUUAUUCCAGCUUGUUGAAAGUGGGAAUGCCAUAAACCAACACAGUGAGCCUGGAGCAAUGACAAGCUACACAAAAAUUAAACAUAUUUGUAUUUCAAGAUGUAGCGGGCUAUCGUGGCCAGUUCAUGGCCACUUUGGGAAGACAUUUAUCAGGAGGAAGCAAGAUGGCACUAAAGCGUGGGAGAGGACAGAAGCUGGAGCUGUCAUGGGUGCAGAAUAAGGUUGGCCCGGAAGGGUAGGUGGGUGGGGUCACACGUGAUAGUUCAGAUAUCUUUUGCUAUCGAUUUUCUAAUUUUCUAAGAUGAAGUGUUAAGGUCCCAGUAUGUGGAUGGUGCCUCCAGAUGGACAAUUCAGGUUGCGUGUCCCAGACCUGGGGAUUGGGACUGGCCAGAACAGACCAGACCCCAUCAGCAGGAUGGACCAGACCCCAUCAGCAGGAUGGACCAGACCCCAUCAGCAGGAUGGACAAGACCCCAUCAGCAGGAUGGACCCCAUGGAAAAAAAAAUCUAGGAACUAAGACAUGAUUGGGCAGGAGGCUGGGAAACUUAUUAGGAAGGAUCAAGGUUGACUUUGCCACCGUGACCUAGCCACGAACAUGAUGGAAAGAAGGCUGUGGAGUGGGGCUGUGGGCAGCACCUCCCGGGGCCCUGAAUGAAGCAAGCUUGGAGAGGGAGCUGUCAUGUGGGUCUGAGUGGCUUCUUUAAUGUCAGCAUGCGCCUAGGAGGUGAUGUAGCCUUAUUGCCUCUUUGAGAGUUGGCUUCCCAUAGGGGCAUCCUAGACACUGGAUGAUUUUUGCAUCAACAUCUUCAGUCCAUCAAAUAUGGUCCUUGAAAUCCCAGCGUCCUCAGUUGGUGAUGGACAGGGAACAGACAUUUGUGGUCUCACGCUGAGGGUCUUAGGAAGGCAAGAGGUGAAUAAAAGAGUCAGGGAUUGAGGGCAGGGCACGGUGGCUCACACCUGUAAUCCCAGCUCUUUGGGAGGUCGAGACAGGCAGAUCACCUGAGGUCAGGAGUUUGAGACCAGACUGCCCAACAUGGCAAAACCCCGUCUCCACUAAAAAUACAAAAAAUUAGCCGGGCGUGGUGGCAGGCAUCUGUAAUCCCAGCUACUCGAGAGGCUGAGGCAGGAGAAUUGCUUGAACCUGGGAGGUGGAGGUUGCAGUGAGCUGAGAUCAUGCCACUGCACUCCAGCCUGGGCGACAAGAGCAAAACUCCAUCCCCCCUACCCACCCCCCCCCCCAAAAAAAAAGAGUCAGGGCUUGAAAGUGAGAAGAUGCAAACUGCAUCCUGUCCUGCCCAUAGGGUGUUCUGUCCACCUUAAGUUUGACUUGGUGGUUCUGAACCAAGCCUGAGACUGUGUUAGGAUGAAAUUCCAGGAGGCUGUAGAGUUAGGCAGUCUGUGCCGAGCAUUCCAUCACACGUGCCAUUCCACACUAUUUGGAGAUCAAGCAGAACAGUUUUGAUUGAUGCUGGGUCAUUUUGUUUUAGAUCAUUUUCACAUUUAUGAUCUCUGGGGUUACGGAAGAGGUCUGUGAUUCUUGUGAUUUCAAGAGAGGGGAUUUAAAAAUGGAUGGGGAGGUUUGUCACAGAUUCGUGAGACUUGGGAGUGAGAAGGAAAGCGGAGUUGGAGAGGUGGAGAAUGGGUGGGGGACCAUUCUUGACCUGGGAUCUCUGUGACCAGGACCCUCUCCAUUUCUCAUCCAAAUGUCCUUUUUGGAGGUCUCAUCCUUGUCAUGGUGGUGACAAGACAUGGAACUUGUCACUUCUAAGGACUUGAACACCCUGAGUGCCUGAGGCUGCAGAAAUGACCAUGGCAGGUUCCCUGCCAUUCACGGAAACUGAAAUGUACCAAAGAGCUGAUAUCCAGGCCAAACAGCGUUUGUGUUGGAGAAGUUGCCUUUCUUUCAAAAAGGAUGGAUAGGAAGCAGUUUUUUAAAAAAAUCUGCCUGCUUUCUGAAGAUGAACACAAAUCUGGUUACAUCCAACAGAAGAUAGAGUGAUUAUGCAACAUGAGGCUUAAAUGUUUGUCUUUUAAAAUGUUCUUAGGGAAUGCAGCAAGAAUUUACAGUAGCCAACCUGUAUUUCCAAGGAGAUUUAAUCAGAGGAAGUAUCAAAGAAUUGAAGAUUAGUAUGAUUUUGAGGGUUUUCCUAAUUAUUUUUCUGAUCUCUUCUCAACUAACAGAGCUGUUAAGCAGAGUUGAUUAAACAAUGUCAAUUUUUUGAAAAGCCCUUAAUGACAUAUUUACACAGUGGUUACGAAGAGCCCCCCAAAGCCCAUCAUGGAUUAUAGGAGCAAGUUAUAGCCAUUAAAACCAUCUGUAAUUAUUUUUUUCAUAGUAGAGAGUGAUGUCAAGUCAUCCGCUUCUGUUCAACAUAUUUCUUAGAAAAGGAUGUCUCAAAACUUCUUUUGAGACCGUCACAAAAUGAAACAACUCCCUGAUCCCACACGAACCUCUCCCACCACCCUCAAACAGAAACCGACCCAAACUCUUUGAAAAGCUCCAAAGAAAAUAAAAUGUUUUUAGAACUUCUUUUCUUGUUCAAAUGUUUGAUUGACUCGUAGAGAUGAAGGGAUGAUGAUGAUUUAUAUGCUUGAUGUACUGUUAUUUGGAGUAAUGUUUCGUUAGAUUUGUUUUGUGAAAUGAAGAAAGCAGUAUGUACUUUACAUUUUUCAUCUGUACAUCUAAUGUGCAAUUUGUUAGCCCAUCAAAAUUAAUUUUAGAUCCCAAAUGGAUCUUUAGAUUUGUAAGUACCGUUAAUGGUUUCUUCAGUUACGUGUAUGUAUUUAUGUGCCCUUCUUGGGUGAAUUUCUGUGAAGGAUUCUGCAGGGUGAAUGUUAACAUAAAUAACUAACCAGCAAAUAAGUGUCAAUUAAAAAUUCUAUUACCGUAAUUGGCCGUGGCCCUUCCUCAUCAAAGUACAGUAUGUUUAGAUCAAAUUUAAUUUUUUCGAGAUGCUUGCCUGCUUAGUUUCCCAAUUUAGCUCCUCUUUCUGCCAACAAAAGAAACUGUUUUCCAUUUAGAGGAGCAUCUUUCUACGCUACCUGCACAUGAAUACUGUGUUCAAACACUAUAAAGAUUUUUAAGUGUUUUUUAAAAACAAAGAGAUUUGGUCAUUUUUGCGGGUUUCUUUUUUCCUUCUAAAUUUCAUCGUCCCUUUUAUCCUUUCUUCCUGGAUUCUCUAUUUUUCUUUCUCAAAAUUUCCCCUUUUCCUGAGGGAUUUUUGCUUCCAGCUGAUGUGAGGGCUUUGAUGGUAUAGUUUAUGUGUUAGGAUUACCACUGCUGUUCCCUAAAGGCCCUCAAAUGCUGUGGCUCAAGUUAAUUUAGAAGUUUACUGCUCUUUCUUCCAAAUUCCAUGUCUACAUGGUGGAAGGCUGGUUCUCCUCCAGGUUGCCCAGCAAGAAAAAGGGAAUGGGAGAGGCUGGGGACAGCAGCUCACCUCCCACUAGUAAAAGUCGGUCUCCGGGGAUUCUACCAGGCCGUACCUAGUUACAGAGAGACUGGGAAAGGUACUCCCUAGCUGUGGGGCUCCUCUUAGCUAAAAUCCCUGGGGUGGGGAGCCUGUUUUUCCUACAACAAGGAAGGGAGGGAAAAAAGCCCUGGGCGACAGUUAGUCUCUGUCACAACUUAUUUAGCUACACGUUUUUGUUUUGUUUUGUUUUGAGACAGAGUCUGGUUUUGUUGCCCAGGCUGGAGCGCAGUGGCACAAUCUCGGCUUACUGUAACCUCCACCUCCUGGGUUCAAGCGAUUCUCCUGCCUCACUCGGCCUCCCGAGUAGCUGGGAUUACAGGCACCUGCCGCCAUGCCCGGUUAAUUUUUUUUUUUUGUAUCUUUAAUAGAGAGGGGGGUUUCACCAUGUUGGCCAGGCUGGUCUCGAACUCUAGACCUCAAGUGAUCCUCCUACCUCGGCCUCCCAAAGUGCUGGGAUUACAGGCGUGCACCGCCUUGCCCAGCCUACAAAAAAUUUUUAAAGAUAACUAGUUCAUCUUUGGAAAACAUCUAAAGGAAAGUGUAAGAGUGUUAAAAUACAAAACGGAAUGGUAUUUUUUUUCUUCAUCUGGGAGUCAAAAUGUAUUGUCCAUAAUUGAUAUACCAGUGUAGAUUUUUUUUU